ensembl:rRNA 5S_rRNA 5S ribosomal RNA
GCCUACGACCAUAUCACCCUGAAUGCGCCCGAUCUCGUCUGAUCUCGGAAGCUAAGCAUGGUCGAGCCUUGUCAGUACUUGGAUGGGAGACUGCCUGGGCAUACAAGGUGUUGUAGGCU